rnacentral:snoRNA from 1 species
CCAGCAUGGUCAUCCAUUGAAGUUACUCAUGGCUCUAGCCAAGUGGCAUAUGGGAGCAUAGCCCUUAGUGCAGCGAUGUACCAUCCCCUUCCACAAUUGGCAGAGCAAGCCUGUCCCUGGUUCUAGAGCUGAUGGGGAUAGAAUCCUGUAUAUUCCUAUAAUUUUUCAUUGUCUUUAGACGUUUACUGAAAAGAGAAACCAUGCAGGGGGCAAUU